rnacentral:lncRNA from 1 species
UUGAAAACACACCUUAAGGAUAAAAUCAGUGCUAAAUUGUAUUUAAAUAAGAAAAAUUUUAUUUGAAAAGAAUUGAUUUUGAUCCUUGACAUACUUGUUCUUAAUACUUUAAUGGUAUGCAUAUUAUGUUUUGCAUGUGGCAUGAUGUUUUGAAUUGUGAGUUUUCAAUAUUCAGAUAAAUUGAGGAUCUUAUUCAAAUAUAAUUUGUAAUGCUAUAUGCCUAGAUAAUUUAAUUGAAACAUGUUUCUACCAACAACAUCAUUUUAUUUUAGUAAAUAUCUGCCAAAAAUAAUAAUAAAAAAAAGAACAAUCUGAAUUGCAAAUUAGGCAGAAUGAAUUAAUUCUGAUUUAUCUUUCAUCUUGCCUAACAUUGGCACAUAAUGUUCUGAUACAUGUUAAAUGUUCUCCAAUUUGUACCAAAACUCAAUAUUAAAAAUAAAGAUUCUGAAUGUGCUCUGAUGUGCUUGAAAUAUAUAUUUUCAAUCUUAAUGACUUAAAAUGAGCUACAAUGUAGAAGAUACAUAUCUCAAAUUAUAAAUUUUGAAAGCCUUCUUGAAAAUUCUUAUGAAAUUCAGAAUAUGACCUAGUAUAAAAGUUUAAACUCCAUAUAAAAUGCUUAUAUCUUUGCAUUUUUGUAAUUUUCAUUAUAUGCUUCAAAGAUUGCAUCAUGCUGGAGAAUAAUUUACUAUGAUUCUUAGAUAAAAACUACAGCCUAAGAAAAAUAGAAUUAAUUUUGAUACCUUGAUUGUUUACUCCGAUACGCAUCUGAAACAUAUCAUUUUUUAUCUUAUAAGUGUGCUGAAAUUGGUCUAAAUGAUGUGUUCUUCAAUGAUCUUGAUUGCGAACAAAUGUUUCUAAAUAUAUGAUGUUAUUUUGAUAUUAAAAAGAUUUAUCGUGCUUCAUAUAUACAUUGCUGAAAAACUAUGA